GAUGAACGCUGACAGAAUGCUUAACACAUGCAAGUCUACUUGAACUUCGGUUUGGGUGGCGGACGGGUGAGUAACGCGUAAAGAACUUGCCUCACAGAUAGGGACAACAUUUGGAAACGAAUGCUAAUACCUGAUAUUAUGAUUUUAAGGCAUCCUAGAAUUAUGAAAGCUAUAUGCACUGUGAGAGAGCUUUGCGUCCCAUUAGCUAGUUGGAGAGGUAACGGCUCACCAAGGCGAUGAUGGGUAGCCGGCCUGAGAGGGUGAUCGGCCACAAGGGGACUGAGACACGGCCCUUACUCCUACGGGAGGCAGCAGUGGGGAAUAUUGGACAAUGGACCAAGAGUCUGAUCCAGCAAUUCUGUGUGCACGAUGAAGUUUUUCGGAAUGUAAAGUGCUUUCAGUUGGGAAGAAAAAAAUGACGGUACCAACAGAAGAAGUGACGGCUAAAUACGUG
rnacentral:rRNA from 1 species